rnacentral:rRNA from 1 species
UGAGGAAUAUUGGUCAAUGGACGAGAGUCUGAACCAGCCAAGUAGCGUGAAGGAUGACUGCCCUAUGGGUUGUAAACUUCUUUUAUAUGGGAAUAAAGUAUUCCACGUGUGGAAUUUUGUAUGUACCAUAUGAAUAAGGGUCGGCUAACUCCGUGCCAGCAGCCGCGGUAAUACGGAGGACCCGAGCGUUAUCCGGAUUUAUUGGGUUUAAAGGGUGCGUAGGCGGAUUAGUAAGUUAGAGGUGAAAGCUCGAUGCUCAACAUCGAAAUUGCCUCUGAUACUGUUAGUCUAGAGUAUAGUUGCGGAAGGCGGAAUGUGUGGUGUAGCGGUGAAAUGCUUAGAUAUCACACAGAACACCGAUUGCGAAGGCAGCUUUCCAAGCUAUUACUGACGCUGAUGCACGAAAGCGUGGGGAGCGAACAGGAUUAGAUACC